CCUUUUCCCCUUAUGCCUCCCACCGCCGGUUUCUUCCCUUGUCUCUCCGACCAACCUAGCCCAUCAAGGCCAUCGCUACCCCUCCUCCGGUCGGAGUCCGCUGCCACCAUUCUUCCGUCGCUGAUGUUGUUUUGUUACCAUCGUUGUGUGGACGAGCCUACUGUCGCUGCUCCUUCGCCAUUGACGCCACGACGUCGCUGCUGGGGUUCCUGUCGGAGGUUGCGCACCUUCCUCGUCCUCGGGAUUCUAUUUGUGUUGGUUUUUGGGAGCUGCUGUUAAAAGCCAUAUGGUGCUGGUGGGGAUUUUGGUCGAGUGUAACUGUGAAGAACCACCAUGGCAGCCGGCCAUGGUGGCUGCUACCGCGACUUGUGAGUACAUUGCCGCCGCCGGACGCCGCUUGAUUGAUGGUUGGAUCAUAUGUGGGAGUCAGAACCGUGUAGGAGUAUGUGUUUGGUGUUGUGUUCCUGGAGCGUGUGUGUUUGUUUGCUGAUCGGAAAAGCUAAGGAGAAACCGCCAUGGCCGCCAUGGUGACUGCCACCCUCUGCCGCCGCCGGCCACCACAAGAUCGGGAAUUUGUCAUCCAGCAGCUGGGGUUGAGUCUGCAGGACUUCAGCAAGUGUGGGAUUGUGUCUUCGGGACUUCAGCAGUGUGAGGUGAGUUACCUUCCAGUAGCGGUGGGUCUACGGCCACAAUGCCGGCCCACCAGUAGGAGUUGUUGUUAGAUGAUUGUCUUUGUGAUAAUUGUCUAUGUUUGCUACUACUUGUUUUGUUAUGUGCUAGCAUGAUAUGAUGUUAUGUAAUAGUGGUAGUAGGGGUGAAUUAGUCCCCGGUUACCGGUCGAUAGGGCCGAAGGGGUAGAUUAGUACCCAACUAUGCUAGACAGAUUAUGAUAUAUGUGAUAUGAUAUUAUGUGGUAGUAGUAGGGGGUGAAAUAGUCCCCAUUUACCGGUCGACAGGACCGAAGGGGUAGGCCGGCACCCAGAUAUGCUAGGCAGUAUAUGACUUAUGUGUUUAUGCUAUGCUUUUAUGUGGUGGUGUUAGGGGGUGAAAUAGUCCCCGGUUACCGGUCGAGAGGACCGAAGGGGAGCCCAGCACCCAGGUAUGCUAGGCAGUAUCCGGUCAAGAGUACCGAAGGGGAGGCUAGCACCCAGAUAUGCUAGGCAGUAUCCGGUCGAGAGGACCAAAGGGGUAGGUCGGGCACCCAAAUAUGUCUGACAGUAUAUGUAUGUUAUAUGAUCGUAUGGUAUGUGGUAUGAUGGGUGAACUCACUAAGCUUCGUGCUUACGGUUUUCAGUUUUGGUUUCAGGUACUUUGUGUUUAAAGGAAAGGAGUCGGCUUGAUCGCAGCGCAUCACACUAUGGUUUUCCGCACAUGAGAUCUUUGGGAUUACACUUUGAUAUUGUUCUAUGAUAACAUGUUUGAUUAUUUAUACUUUGGUUUUGACAUGACAUGAUAUUACAAAUGUUUUAUUACACUGUUGGUUUUAUAAUGACGUAUUUAAAAAUGAAAUUUUUGGCCUGUAUUUUUGGGAUAUUACAAUUCAUUUUUUAAAUUUAGGUUUAUUGAAGUAGA